rnacentral:rRNA from 1 species
CACGUAGGCGCCAAGCGUUGUCCGGAUUUAUUGGGCGUAAAGAGCUCGUAGGCGGUUCGAUAAGUCGGGUGUGAAAACUUUGGGCUCAACCCAAAGCGUGCAUUCGAUACUGUUGUGACUAGAGUUCGGUAGGGGAGUGGGGAAUUCCUAGUGUAGCGGUGAAAUGCGCAGAUAUUAGGAGGAACACCGGUGGCGAAGGCGCCACUCUGGGCCGAAACUGACGCUGAGGAGCGAAAGCGUGGGUAGCAAACAGG